UACGUAGGGUGCAAGCGUUGUCCGGAAUUAUUGGGCGUAAAGAGCUCGUAGGCGGUCUGUCGCGUCGGCUGUGAAAACCCGGGGCUCAACCCCGGGCCUGCAGUCGAUACGGGCAGACUAGAGUGUGGUAGGGGAGACUGGAAUUCCUGGUGUAGCGGUGAAAUGCGCAGAUAUCGGGAAGAACACCCGUGGCGAAGGCGGCUCUCUGGGACGGUACUGACGCUGAGACGCGAAAGCGUGGGGAGCGAACAGG
rnacentral:rRNA from 1 species